rnacentral:rRNA from 1 species
CGAACUGUCGACACGAGUUGUUGCUGGCCCUCGAAAGGGGGCACGUGCACGCUCUGUUUACACAUCCACUCACACCUGUGCACCCUCUGUAGUUCUAUGGCCUCGGGGACCCCGUCCCCUUGCUGUGGUCCUACGUCUUUACACACACACCGUAACAAAGUCUCAUGGAAUGUAUGUCGCGUUUAACGCAAUACAAUACAACUUUCAGCAACGGAUCUCUUGGCUCUCGCAUCGAUGAAGAACGCAGCGAAAUGCGAUAAGUAAUGUGAAUUGCAGAAUUCAGUGAAUCAUCGAAUCUUUGAACGCACCUUGCGCCCUUUGGCUAUUCUGAAGGGCAUGCCUGUUUGAGUAUCAUGAACACCUCAACUCUCAUGGUCUGCCAUGAUGAGCUUGGACUUUGGGGGUCUUGCUGGCCUAGUGUCGGCUCCUCUCAAAUGGAUCAGCUUGCCAGUGUUUGGUGGCGUCACAGGUGUGAUAACUAUCUACGCUUGUGGUUUUCUGCCACGUAACCUUCAGUGAUGGAGGUUCGCUGGAGCUCACAGAUGUCUCUCCUCAGCGAGGACAG